CGUAGAGUAGAGGUGAGACCAAGAUGAAGUUUGCAUGGAUUUCCAACACCCUUCCAUUAGCUAACUCAUAGCACAGUUCUACUUGGAUAAAACAGCCACCACACUUCCAGAGGCUGUAGCAAUCAGCUGCCUAAGUGCAAUUAUUCCCCUCAAGAGCCUCUCCUAAUGUUACUUAAGCCCUCAACCAAUCAGGCUUCAUGCACUUAUCUUACAGUUUUCCCUAUGGGCUCCCUCCCACAUUGUGACAUAUUUUUAACAUUCAUAUAAAUCUCCUCCCUUCAUCCUCUCCCCACAAAUACCAGCCAGUUGCAGGCCUCUCUUGGAGUUUCUUCUAACAAUGAUGUGAGAAACUUCAUGAAUCCUCAGCCUAUAAAUAGGAGUCACAGAAGAGAAUGAGAUGUCCAGAAAGCACACAAAAAGAACAGAAAAAUUGAUCAUUCACAUUUUAGAAUGGAAACAAGAGUAGGAAUUGGCAAAGGAGACUGGAAAGAAAUCACGAGAUGACCCUGAGAGAACUGUGCCAGAAAAUCCAAAGAAGGAAAACCGACUACAGAGAAUGAAAUGCUGCGGAGAUAAACCAUAAUGAAGUCUGAAAAUAGUCCAUUAGAUCGGAUAAUUAGAUGAUGGCCAGAAAUGGCAAUUUCAUUGACUUGGUGGAAUCAGUUGCCCCACUCCUGAGGAAUGAGUCAAAGAAGAAAAUAAGGAUAAUCUUCCAGUUACAGAGUGAAUAUGUAACAGAAAUAAAGGGCACAGCUAUAAGGAAUAUGUUGAUGAUACACUAACUGCACUGUCUAGGGACAGAAUGUGGCUACACUUGUUGUGAGCAUCGCAUAAUGUAUAGAGAUGUGGAAUCACUAUGUUGUACACCUGAAACUGAUGUAACAUUGUGUGUCAACUACCCUCAAAAUAAAAAAAGAUGUU